rnacentral:tRNA from 1 species
GGGGAUAUAGAUGGCUCAGCGGUAGAGCGCCUCGUUUAAUGACCAAGAGUGUAUACGGUUCGAACCCGUAUAGUCCUA